CCACCAACACAUUUCACAAUCCUAAACAAAACAGCCUUCACAUACUCACUUUCAGUCAUUAUAAAUCCAGGGUAGAUUUGACCUAGAAGUGAAAAACUAUAUACUGGAACUAAUCCAGAACCAUUCUGAAAACUAAGUUAACCUUGAGACCAGAUUUAUAGUCUCUCAGCACCAAGGAGGACAGCCAAAAUAACCCUAAGUGGGGCAAAUAAUUGGCAUCAUUCUGACAUGAGAAGACCCAGAACAAACAAUUCAUAUCCCUUCAGAGUCUUCAAAACCAAAGAAAGAAACAGGAGACAGAUUUCUUCCAUGCAGCAAUAAAGAGAGUACCAGAACCUACAAUGAAGAAAUACCCAAGAUGUACCAAAAUUACUUUAAUAUACGAGUCACAGCUACUGGGAUAACUGCACCUCUGACCCCUCCUGGUCUUUAAGAGUAUGUCUACACAUCAACGAGGCACCCAUGGCUGGCCAGUGCCAGCUGAAAGUGGGAGAAAGUGUCUACACAGCAGCUAAGCACCCGUGGCUGGCCCAUGCCAGCUGACUUGGACUUCUGGGACUCAGGAUGCAGGGCUGUUUCAGGAUUUGUGUCAUCACCUCUCAAUGUGGAAUCAUAAGGUUCUUCCACUUUCAGAUAAGAUCUUGGGCUGUGUAGUGUCAAGGACUGGGCCUUCUAGAGCUGAGCUUAGCAGAUCACCACCACAGGCUAUAGUACCCAGGUGCUAACCAUGAUUAUCUGAGCA